rnacentral:tRNA from 1 species
AACCGAAUGGCUGAAGUCAGGCAUUAAACUGUAAAUUUAAUCAUAGAAAUUAUUUUUCUUUUGGUUA